CCUACGGGAGGCUGCAGUGGGGGAUAUUGCACAAUGGGGGGAACCCUGAUGCAGCGACGCCGCGUGGGUGAAGGAGUGCUUCGGCAUGUAAAGCUCUAUCGGCAGUGAAGAAGCAAGACGGUACCUGACUAAGAAGCCCCGGCUAACUACGUGCCAGCAGCCGCGGUAAUACGUAGGGGGCGAGCGUUAUCCGGAUUCACUGGGUGUAAAGGGAGCGCAGACGGGCAAGCAAGCCAGCGGUGAAAGCCCGGGGCCCAACCUGGGGACUGCCCGUGGAACUGCAUGGCUGGAGUGCGGGAGGGGCUGGCGGAAUUCCUGGUGUAGCGGUGAAAUGCGUAGAUAUUAGGAGGAACACCGGCGGCGAAGGCGGCCAGCUGGACCGCGACUGACGUUGAGGCUCGAAAGCGUGGGGAGCGAACAGGAUUAGAUACCCUGGUAGUC
rnacentral:rRNA from 1 species